rnacentral:rRNA from 1 species
GAUGAACGCUGGCGGCGUGCCUAAUACAUGCAAGUCGAGCGAACAGACGAUGCUUUUGCUCCUCUGGCGUGACCGACGGACGGGUGAGUAGCAGGUGGAUUACCUUCCUAUAAGGCUGAGGUCAGGGCGGGAGGCCCUAGCUCAGACCAGAUAAUAUAUUGAACGGGAUGGUUCAAUAGUUAUUGACGUGUUUGCUGUGCCUGAUACAUGUCUGCUCGCUGCUUUAGUUAGUUCGUAAGGUAAAGGCUUACCAAGGCGACGAUGCGUAGCCGACCUGGGAGGGGGGACGGGCACACUGGGACUGAGAGACGGUACAGGCUCCUAAGGGCGGCACAGACAGGGAAUCUUCGGCAAUGGGGGAAAGCCUGACGGAGCGACGCCACGUGAGUGAAGAAGGGCCUCGGAUCGGAAAACUCUGUUAUGGGGGAAGAACAAAUGUGCAAGUAACUAUGCACGUUUUGACGGUACCUAAUUAGAAAGCCACGGCUAACUACGUG